rnacentral:ncRNA from 20 species
UGCGAUGAGUCGAGAUAGGUCAGACAAUUCUUUGAAUUGUUUCGCUGCGGCGACUAGUGACCAUUUCGCCGGCACACGUUAUCUACCGUAUUGUAGAAGUGUGAGUCAUAAUAGGUGUGUGAGCCACCU